GGGACUAUACUUUCAGGGAUCAUUUCUUCUAGUUUCUAACUUGAGAAAAUGUGUUCAAAGUUUUGCGUCCCGCCAACACAAUGAUGAGUCGUGAUUAUUUCCUUCUGAGCGUGAAGCCUGGACAAGAAGUAAUGAUUCAAUUCAUAUGUUCUGUAUUGCUGAUUUUUCUUUACUUCUUUGUGGAGUACUGAGGAAGGAAUUGAUCAGAGUGGU
ensembl:snoRNA U3 Small nucleolar RNA U3